AUUGAACGCUGGCGGAAUGCUUUACACAUGCAAGUCGAACGGCAGCACGGGGGCAACCCUGGUGGCGAGUGGCGAACGGGUGAGUAAUACAUCGGAACGUGCCCAGUCGUGGGGAUAACGUAGCGAAAGCUACGCUAAUACCGCAUACGAACUGAGGUUGAAAGCGGGGGAUCGCAAGACCUCGCGCGAUUGGAGCGGCCCGAUGGCAGAUUAGGUAGUUGGUGGGGUAAAGGCUCACCAAGCCGACGAUCUGUAGCUGGUCUGAGAGGACGACCAGCCACACUGGGACUGAGACACGGCCCAGACUCCUACGGGAGGCAG
rnacentral:rRNA from 1 species